rnacentral:lncRNA from 1 species
AACCAUCAGUUGUUUUGUUUACAAGUCUGUAUAUGUAUAUAUUUGUUGAAUGACCUGUAAUGUUAUUGUUAGGGUAUAAAUGUUGUAAUAAGUCGAAGUGUUAGUUGUAUGGUUACGAAGGAUCUCUAAUCUUCGUAAGUAGAAUCUUCGGAUGUAAUGUUAUAUUUACUAAGGCAUUUUAAUGAAUAGUCUGAAUGUCUAGUCCUUAGUAUUUUGUUAUGCUUUUGUACUCCUAUAAAUAGGAGACUGUACUGAGUGAGUACUUAACUUUCACAUAUUCUUUACAGAGAAUUCCUUUGUACUCUGUAAAAUCAAAAGCAUAAUAUGAGCUGAUCAACUAUUAUAUUUACUCUCGUGUUCAUCGUAUUUCUUCUUUCUUAAUUCUUACGUGAAUUGAUCUUUAAACUCGAUUUCAAAUCUCAUCAAUUGGUAUCAGAGCAGGAAUCCUUUCUGUGAUCUGAUUUUCAUUCGAUCAAAAAGGUUUUUGAAUCUACUGUUUGAUUCAAAAAGUUUCCGUCCUUUUUGAAUUUGAAAAUUUCAUCUAGAUCUCAAUCUAGGAUUUGAUUCUGCAAAAAUAUUUGUUAAUCGAGUGUUCGGUGUGUAAUUCUAAAUUGAAUUAUACAAUUUGAUUUUCAAAAUUCUCAAAAGUUUAGUAUCAUCUUGAAGUUUUUGUCCGUACAACAAUGGCGUCAUUCAAUCUGAAUUCGAUGACAUCAUUUUCUCAUUUGCUUGGAUCAUCCACAAAAAUUCCAAUGCUUAUUCCAGAAUAUUAUGAUCAGUGGGCAGAUCGUAUGGAAGAUUACUUGAACGGAUUGGAUGAAGAAUUAUGGAAAUGCAUCUCAGGAGAAAUCAAUCAACCUGCACAAGUUCAGCCAAUCGGCAUGUCUUCAAGCAGUUCAGAAGUUGAUAAUCAAACCGAUCGUUUAAAACGUCUGGAGAAGAAAUGCAUGAGGGAAUUAAGAGGUGCGUUGCCUCCUGUUGUGUACAAUUAUGUCAGAACAUGCAAAACAGCUAAAGAAAUCUGGAACAAUCUCAAAGACAAAUUUCAAGGGAGUGAAAAGACGAAGAUCACAUCUGUGAAACAAUGCCUGGUAGAACUCAAAGAUUUCAGACAGAAAGAAAAUGAGUCUAUUGAAGCAUACUAUGAUAGGUUCAACGAGUUAAUCUAUCGUUGUAAUCGUUAUAGUAUAAUAAGGUCACCAAUGGAGUACAAUUUGAUAUUUGUAAUGGGACUUCGAAAGGAGUGGAGAAGUGUGAGCAUGAUGGUGAAAAAUCAACAAAGUUUUGAUACUUCGACUUUGAAUGACUUGUACAAUCAAUUAAAAUCUCAUGAAAAUGAAGUUAAUGAAAUAGCUGAAGAAGCUAUAGCAAGUCUUGGUGGUCCUUUGGCUCUAGUUUCGAAGGUUUCAGAAAGAGAAAGUGAAAAAUUGAAGUCUGAUGAAGAAGAAGGUUUUUUGAUGAAUUCUGAUGAUGAGGCUGUUGCUUUUUACUCAAACAAUAGAGUAAAGAAAUUUUUUAAGAAACCUUUUAAUCCAAAGAAGUCAUCAGAUUCGAAGGGUAGUUUUGAGAACAAAAACAAACUGGAUGAAAAGAAAAUAGAAAUGAAGACAAAUUCGAAGAAUGAGAUGGAGCAAAUGAAGAUGCUAUUGAAAGGUGAUACAGGGAUCAAUUGUCAUUAUUGCUAUGGAGCAAAUCAUUUGGCAGUAGAUUGCCUGUUGAGGAAGAAGGAAGAAAAGAAGAGUAAAACAAAGGAUGAAGCUUACUACACUGAGAAACUGGAGGAAGUAAAGAAGAAAGCGAAGAAUUUGUCAUUGGUGGCUCAUGGAGAAACUGAAUCGGAUGGCACAUAUCAAAUAUGGUCUUCGGGUUCAGAUGAUGAAGAGAUGAAAAAUCCAACUCAUGGAGCUAUGUAUGCAAAAAUGGAAGAGGAUUCAGAUGAUGAACAGACUGACGAAGUGUGUGGGCAAUGCUUCGUUUCGAAGUCUACUGACAAGUCGCCUAUGACUACCAAGGUACGUAACAUUCUUGAAUCUUUUAACAUUCCAGUUUCUGCAUAUAAUUCUGAGUUAGUAUCUUUUGAUGAAACUGUUACUUACUUUGAUUCAAUCAUUGUGUCUGCUAGCAAUGAAGCGAAAAAGUUAAGUGAUCAAUUACUAGAGACGAGAAAAAUGUUGGAUUCAAAAGUCACUAGGAUUGAUUACUUAGAAUUGCAAGUUUCAAAUAUCAUGGAGGAUAGAGAAAAAUUAGGAAAAGAAAUAAACUUGUUGUUAGCUCAGAGAAAUGUUUUUUGUAAUUCAGCAAAAAGAUUGUAUGGAAAAUUAACUGAGUUACAUCAUUCGUGUGAAAUAAGUAAGGAACAACAUAGAAAAUUACUACCAUUUUUAGCUUAUGAUAGAGCUAAGGUUGAUAGUAUUUCAUAUGAUUGUGAAAAAGAAAUUUCUGAUUUCAACAAAGUUCCAGAUGAUAGGUUUAGAUAUGGAAUUGCAAAAGUCGAAGAUUAUCUUGAUGCUAAUGAUUUAGUAAAAAUUGUAAAUGAAACCUUAACUAAAUCAGAACAACUUCGAAUUUUGAAAAAGACUGAGAAUUCUACAUCUAAUAGUGAAACUAAUAAUGCUAAUAUUGAAGAAAAUUCUGAUAAUAUUAGUGAAAUUAGUGAUUUAGAAGAUGUAGAUUGUUCACAGUUGUCUGUCAUAAAUGUUGCAAAUUCAUUUAAAGGGAAAGAAAAAUGUGACGAUUUAUUAAUGAAAAUUGAAACUAAUAAACCCUCAACUUCGAAAGUUUGUGAUAUGGAAUAUGUGGAAAUACAUGAGAGUCAAACGGAUGAUAGUGACAAUGAAGAAGAAAAUACAAAUUCAAAGCAAAGUCAAAGGUUGAAAGAAAUUGAAAUUCCUCGAGUGGUUGUUGAUCAAGUCUAUUUGGAUACACAAGAAUUUGAGAAAAUUCUUAGUGAAAAAGGUGCUCAUUAUCUUGAAUCGAAUACUGUUGUUUAUCCAAUCUUCAAAUGCACUGAUGAUAUUGUGUUCCCAAAUCAAGUCUUCGUAACAACAGGUAAUGUUGAAAAUAUAAAACCUGAAUUCAAAAAGAUGGUUGUGGAAGACAAUAUGAAAACAUCAAAUGAAGGAUUCUUUUCAAAUCAAAGUACAGUUGAAAAUAAUCUUACAAAGAAUUCAUAUAAAUUUCAACAUCAUAAACCAAAAAGAGUAUGGAUUGAAAAGUCAAAAGUUGAAAAGAAGGAAGUUGUCCCAACUGCAAAUAUGUUUUCAAAGCACGAAGAUGUUAAAACUGAUGUUAAAACAAUUAACAAAGUGAUAAAAUUAAAUUCAAAAGAAUUUAAAGCUCAAGUUGAAAAUUUUUCAAAGGAAAAUAAUAUUUCGAAACGUCAAGCAAGGAAAACAAUUUUUUGGCAAACUGUUGAACCAUCAAAAAUGAGAUCAACAAAUUUUUCAAAAAGAAGAAAAGUUUUUAAAGAAAAAUCAAAAUCUCAAAUUUUUGAAGAGAAAAGUGCUUUGUUUUCAAAUAAAAAUUCAAAAGUUUCAAAUGAAAUAAAAUCUACAAUACCAAGAAAUUUUUUUCAGAAAAAGGUUGGAAAUCAAACUUCAAAGUUUCAAAACAAGACAUCUUAUCAUGAAUCAUAUCUUUCAAAACCAAAAGUUGAUUAUGUUCCAAAUACAGCAAAAUGUUAUAAUCCUUUGAAGAAACAAGCUGACAAAGUCUCAUAUGCAAAGGGAAUAACAACAAAGAGAAAUAUUGAUCAUUGGUUGGAAGGAAAAGGAAAGAUAUACCAAUCAAGUAAGUUUUCGAAAGAACAGAUACAUGAGGCGUAUGACAAAUAUGCUAAUCCUUCAACGAAUGGUAGUUUAUCAUCGAAAGAGUCAAAUAUAUCAGUUAAAGUUUGGCAGCCGGUCACAAGAGCAAAAAGGGAAAAAUCACAAACUCAAGAUGCGAAGGGUGAAAUUAGUGAAAAUUUGAAUAGAAUAAAAACUCAUAUAUCUGACCCUUCGAAUGAAAAUGUUAGAUUUAUAGACAGUUUCAAAACCAAAGUAUAUGAUUGGGUUAAUGGUUGUACUUUACAAUUGAAUCACAAACCUAAUUUGAAUGGACCCAACAAAGCUUGGGUACCUAAAUUUUUCCAAUGAUUGCAGGUACUUUGUGACGAGCAAUAUGAUAACAAGUGGUAUAUUGAUAGCGGUUGCUCACGUCACAUGACUGGGAAGAAGGAAAACUUGCGUGAUUUUCGAAGCCUAGAAAAUGGAGGAGUGGUUAAGUUUGGUAAUAAUCACAAAUGCAAAGUCAAGGGUUAUGGGAAGAUAACGAAUGGAAAUUUCACUAUCAACAGAGUUGCAUUUGUUGAAGGUUUGCAACACAACUUGAUAAGUGUUUCACAACUUGUUGUGGGCACUGGCAAUCAAGUUCUUUUUAAUGAAGAAGGAAGUGUCAUUUCGAAUGUCAAGACUAAGGAAGUUUUACUUAAGUCAAAAAGAAAAGGUGAUAUGUUUACAUUGGAUAUUGUUCCUAUUGUAGGCAAACCUGCUGUGUGUCUACUUUCGAAGGCUGCUGCUGAUGUUAGCUGGUUAUGGCACAGGAGAUUAUCACAUCUCAAUUUUCGAAACAUCAACAAACUUGUCAUACAAGAUCUGGUAAGAGGUUUACCCAUUCUUAAAUAUGAUAAUGACAGUUUGUGUGCAGCUUGCGAAGUAGGGAAACAACACAAACAAGGUCAUCCAAUCACAAUAGAUUCGAAGAUUGUUGAACCCCUUGAACUCCUGCAUAUAGAUUUAUGUGGUCCUUCAACAGUUGCUACUCUUAACAAGAAAAGGUACAUUUUGGUAAUAGUAGAUGAUUUUUCAAGAUUCACGUGGGUUUAUUUUCUCAGGUUAAAAUCCGAAGUUCCACAAAUGAUGAUUGAUUUUAUCAAAAAGAUGGAAGUUUCAUUGAAGAAGACAGUUCGAAAAAUUAAAAGUGAUCAUGGAACUGAAUUCAAAAAUCAUGUCUUCGAUACAUUUCUGGUGGAAAAAGGAAUUUCGCAUAAUUUUUCAUCUCCUUAUACACCACAACAAAAUGGUGUAGUUGAGAGAAGAAAUCGAUCAUUAUGUGAAGCUGCAAGAACAAUGUUGGCAUUUUCGAAUUUACCUCAAUAUCUUUGGGCUGAAGCUGUUUCAACUGCGUGUUUUACUCAAAAUCGAUCAUUUAUUCAUAGACGGUUUAAUGUUACUCCUUAUGAAAUCAUCAAUAAUCGAAAACCUAAUGUCAAAUUUUUCCAUGUUUUUGGAUGCAGGUGUUUCAUAAUGAAUCUCAAGGAUAAUCUUUCGAAGUUUCAAACAAAAGCAGAUGAAGGAAUUUUCUUGGGAUAUUCACACAAUUCAGUUGCUUAUAGAGUGUUAAAUAAGCGAACUCGCAAAGUGGAAGAAACUUUUAAUUUGACAUUUGAUGAUCAUUACAUUAAAAAGUCUAAUCAUAAAUUUGUGAAUUAUCCUAUUUUGCAAAAUUCUUCAAAUAUAGAUGAUUCAAUUGAAAUGAAUGAUGUUGAUUAUGAUUCGAUUUUCGGUAUUUCAGAUCAAGCAAUUGAUGCAGAAAGAAAUGCAACUGAUAAUCAAACAUCAGAAAAUUCGAAGUAUAACAAUGAUUCAACUUCAAAUUUGAAUCUAAACCCAAAUGAACAAGCUGAUGAUCCAGUGGAGGGGGAGCACUUGGAUUCAAAUACUUUUGUUGAGGGGGAGCGUUAUAGUGAACGAGAUAACAUGUCAACAAAUGUUAGUGUCGAAGAGGAGCAAAUUCUUGAAGAAGAACCGAUCAGUGAACCAGAGCAAAAUAUCGAAACGGAGUCAAUCAUCGAGGGGGAGCUCAUACUAGAGAAUGAUCCAAUUCUUGAAGAAGAACAUUUUGAUGAUGCUGAUGAUUCUAUUUCUAUAAAUGGAUCAGAAACAGAUGUAAUGUUCGAAGAUGCACUUUUGGAUUUUGAUCCUAAUUAUCCACCAUUGGAUAAAUGGACAAGAAAUCAUCCAAAAGAUCAAAUUCUUGGUGAUCCACAAGCAGGAAUCAUGACAAGAGCACAACUUCAUGCACGAAAUGAGGUACUGAACAAUCAUCAAGAGUUCUGCAUGUUUCAUGUUUUUAUUUCCAAAAUUGAACCAAAGACAGUUAAGAUUGCAAUGGAACACUCUGAUUGGGUUGUUGCUAUGCAAGCUGAAUUGUCUGAAUUCGAAAGAAACAAGGUUUGGAGAUUAAUUCCAAAACCUGAUGAUGUGUCAGUUGUUGGACUUAAAUGGAUUUAUAAAAACAAAACUGACAAAGAUGGAAACAUUAUUCGAAAUAAGGCCAGACUUGUUGUUAAAGGAUAUUCUCAACAAGAAGGAAUUGAUUACGAAGAAACAUUUGCCCCUGUCGCAAGACUCGAGGCUGUUCGUAUUUUUCUGGCUUUUGCAGCUCAUAAAGAUUUUGAUGUCUAUCAAAUGGAUGUCAAAUGUGCAUUCUUAAAUGGAGAACUCGAAGAAACGGUAUAUGUUGAACAACCUCCAGGUUUUAUAAACUCAGAGCAUCCUGAUCAUGUUUAUAUUUUAGAUAAAGCUGUAUAUGGGUUAAAACAAGCACCAAGAGCAUGGUAUGCAACUCUAACAUCAUUUUUGAAACAAUCUAAAUUUAAACAAGGUUCAGUUGAUCCCACUUUAUUUCGAAAGAAAAUUGGAAAUCAUCUGAUGCUUGUUCAAAUUUAUGUUGAUGAUAUAAUUUUUGGCUCAACUGACCCUGCUUUAUCUAAAGAAUUCGAAGAUUUGAUGAAAAGCAAAUUUGAAAUGAGUAUGAUGGGCAAAAUUAAUAACUUUUUGGGUUUGAAUAUUAGACAAAACAGGGAAGGCAUAUUCAUUAAUCAAGAGAAAUAUACGAAGAAUUUGUUGGAAAAGUUUGGAAUGACAAAUAGCACAAGGUUACGAAUACCAAUGGCAACGGGCAUAAAGCUAACUCCUUCGUUAGAUAAAUCUGCUGUUGAUAUUACUUUAUAUCGAAGCAUGAUUGGGUCUUUAUUGUAUUUAACUGCAAGUAGACCUGAUAUUAUGUAUUCUGUUUGUAAUUGUGCAAGGUAUCAAUCAAAUCCACGUGAACCACAUCUCACAGCAGUAAAGAAUAUUUUCCGAUAUUUGAAAGGCACUACUUCGUUAGGAUUGUGGUAUCCUUCGAAAACAGGGUUCUUUGUACAAGCUUAUUCGGAUGCGGAUCUUGGAGGAUGCAGUCUUGAUCGUAAAAGCACAACUGGUGGGUGUCAAUUGCUAGAUGGAAAGUUGGUCAGCUGGCAAUCGAAGAAGCAAACAUGUGUUUCAAUAUCAACCGCUGAAGCUGAAUAUGUUGCUGCAGCUGCGUGUACAUCACAAAUAAUUUGGAUUCAAAGUCAAUUAAGAGAUUAUGCAAUUAAUAUGAAAAAGAUUCCUUUAUAUUGUGAUUCACAAAGUGCAAUAAGAAUUUGUCAUAAUCCUGUGCAGCAUUCGAAGACCAAGCACAUUGCUCUUCGAUAUCAUUUCAUCAAAGAUCAUGUUGAAGAAGGAAAUAUUGAAGUUCAUUUUGUAAAAACAACGGACCAAUUGGCAGAUAUUUUUACAAAGGCUUUGGAUGAAAAAUCGUUUCUUCGGAUCUUAGAUGGAUUGGGAAUGAUUGAUGGAAAUUCUCUUCAAACUGAUAAAAGCGAAGAGUGAUGGGUCUGAAUCAUUUGGUGUAUGGACGGAAAGAAUGAUUCAGUGUUCAGAGGUUACUGUUCAUGGUCAACGCUUCAAACGCUUCGCAUUCAGAAGUUUUUUAAUAAUCAGAGGUUACUGUUCAUGGUCAACGCUUCGAACGCUUCGCAUUCGGAAGAUUUACUUCUUAUUGAAAUAACAAAAUCAGAGAUUACUGUUCAAGUCAACGGUUCGAAUGCUUCGUAUUUGUACACAUUUCAACUAAGGUUAGAUUUUUAGUUUGUUUAAUUUUUUUUAUGAAAAACCUGAAAAAUCAAAAAUAUUUUCUUUUAUUGAAAAAUCAAAAAUCCAAAAAGAUUUUGUUUCAGUUUGUCUUUAAUUUUUCUGAAAAAUUUCAAAAAUACCAAAAAUAUUUUUUAUUUUUUUUCGGUUUUAACAUGUGUGUUGUGAGUUUUGUCAAGUUUCAAAUACGAAGGAUUCAUGCAACUGGUUUCGAACGAAAGGUAUGAUCUCGAUACACUUUGGAUUAGUUAGGAUGUCCCUAGAAGCAUGCUGCUGCAUGUUGUCUCAAGCCUCGUAUGAUUCUAUGUAUGGGAAAUGAAAGCCUUGAUGAAAUUAUCUCAUGAAAAUUUCUUCCCAACAAGGCUUGUAUUUGCAUAAAUCAACAAGAGCUACCUUACUCUUCUCAAAUGAGUUAAGAGUUUUCUGUUUUGUCCAUUAUAACAGAGGUACCCUUCGAUUCUUAUCCAAUCUUUUUAAACCAAACAAUUCUUACAUUCCAAAUAUUCGAAGCAAUUUGUCCUUGAGGUCUUUGAUCAAACCAAUCAAAACCUAGACAAAUCACAACUCUGUGUUUAUGAUCUAAUAUCAUGAGUCCGUGAUAGAAGUGAAACCCAAAAUCUUAUAAACCUUAAGGAAUUGACGGGGAACCAUGUUCCAGAUCUUACGAAGCUUUUGCUUCAGUACCUUUUAUACUCCAAAUCCUAUUCAUUUCUUUUGAGUGAUCUUAAUCAAACAUUCGAAAACUACGAUGUUUGUUCCCAACAAGAUCCAGCAUAAAUGUUUUUAUGAAUAUGAUUUCCGUGUGAGUAUAUUUUCAAAAUUCUAAGUUACUUUGAAUAUCAUUCGCAACCAAGUUGUCACUAACUACAUUGGUCAUACAACUAAUUUUGUUUACAAUUUCUCACCUUAUUUUAAGGUUGAUAUGUAACGAAAUUUUCGAAGCCACCCAUGUGUCCUAUAAAAGAAACCCUUCGAAACUUCUCUACAAGUUAUCGAUUGUAAUUCACGGGAAACCACACAAGCUGUUAAUUAUCUCUCUUGAUAAUUUUUGAAGAUAUCUUUGCCUGGGAUAAUAUUGUUUUUGUGUCAAACGAAAUUGUUGACAUCACAAGUUUUCCAAAAAAAAAUUUAUUUGUUUCUCAUCUAAUUUCUUUUGGAACACAGCACACACGAAAUCCUUGAGGUUUGAGUAACACCAACUUAAACUGAUGAUUUCGAAAUUCUGGCAAAUGACUUCACUUUUUAAACCCCAAAGUGAAAGAGCCUAACCUCAAUUCCGAAGGCAUCUGACGGUUCCAAUUCUUUUGGGGAAUACCAAACAGUCCUAUCUCUUGAUGACGCAUGGUGUAUGAUAAGCGUGUAAGGCGUGUUGACAGUUACGAUUGUUACUUUUUGAUGAGUGCAUUCCGUUUUUCAAGGUGCCAUGUCAGCAAGCAUUUAUUGUAUCCCGCUUCAAAUUCAAAAUUCUAGGGUUACAUAUAAAAGGGCAAAUCAGAACUCAAUAACACUUUACGAGAUCAAACUCUCUGCAACACAAAAUUCUCUUUGCAAUUCAUAUUCUUCAUACGUUCUUUACUCCAAUCAUCUUCAAUGGCGACUACUUCAUCACCAACUACAGAUGAAAUCAUCAGUGUUCCGAUUCUGAAGAUCCAGGGUUCCAACUACCAAGUCGAAUCGGAUUUGUCAAAGUAUCCGGAGGAACUUCAUAUGCUGGUGGUUGCUUUACAGAAUUCUGUUCUGUCUAAAGCAAUGUUUGAAUCAUUUGCUGCUCCAAUGUCCUGGUUGUCAAAAGCAGGUUCCACGGCAUCAUACAACAAAGAGACUGGGUGUGUUGAAUUCACAAUGGUCACAGAUACGAGAAUUAGGGUCUCAAAGAGGUUGUUUUGCAAGAUUUUGGGAAUUUCGAAUUCUGGCCCGUAUGAUGAACUUACUUCUUCGCAAGUGGUGUAUAUGUUCAAUGAGAUGGGUCACCAACCUCCAUUGACACGUAUUAGUGAUUUUAAGAAGUCGGGGUUACCAACAAUUUGGAACUUUUUGUUUGGCAUUUUUCUUAGAUGUCUUACUGGAAGAACUGUGGGGUUGGAUAAAGGAAGAAUGGAGGUCUACGCAAUGGUAGCUGGGAUAUACUAUGAUUUACAGGUUGAUUAUUCUGAGCAGUUAUGGACAGAGUUCAUCAUAAGUAUUUUGAAGACCAGUGUCAAGCAGGGAAUUUCUUGUGCAAGAUAUUGGAGUCUGAUAGUCCAAUAUGUCUAUCAGAAGGAGAAGAUCGAAGUUCCUGAUUACGAAGAGAAAGCUGUUUUCCACAAGUACGGGAGUCCAAAGGAGGUACAUGAUGAUCCGGAAAUCUUUACAACAGUUGCUCGCAUUCCGGAUGCAAUGCUAAAGAAGGUGGGUCCCACGAAUAACGUGUUGGUGUCAUACUUACAAUCCAUUGACACAACUAUUGUGACAGGAAUAUUACAAAAAGAAGAGAAGAAGAAGUCGAAGAAGUCAAAGAAGACAGAGGGUGACUCUUCGGAAAAAGGCGUGAAAGAAGAACAAAAGAAUCAGAUGCUAAUCGUUACAUCUCAAAAUGUUGAAGAGGUGUCUCCGGUUUUAACCUCAGUGGCUGAUACACCGGUUAUCGAAGCCUCUCCAUCCAAAGAAAUGAUUCCUUCAAAGACGGGGGUUUUUCGAAGAAUAAAAAUCAAGCGAAAAUCUCAGUUGGUGAAGAAAGCUCAGGUUACUCAUCAAGGGGUUACUGUUCGAGAAAUUCCAGCACCAGUGUCUCCAUCUUCUAAGAAGCGAAGGGCUGAAGAUAUGGCGAAAUUUUUGAAGAAAAGCCAACGUAUCGAAGAAGUGGAACAAGUGCCUAAGACUCCCGAAGAUGAAAUUCCAAAAGAAGAAGAAAUCCUUCAGUCUACUGAUAUUUCGAAGCCUGCUGACAUAAAAAUCCUUGAAUCAACGUCUCUACCACAAGUUACUUCAACAACUGAUUCUCCUACAUUCCAAUCCAUUAUGGAUCAACCUUUCACUACAAUCUUCUCAACACAAUCAACCGAUCCACCAAAUCCAUCAUCACCUGUUGCUAAAACAAUGGCGAUUGAUGAGGAAACUGACAACAAAGGGUUUGGAGGAACAUUCGAAGCUCGUUCCUUUGAUAAAGCUGAAUAAGAGUUUCCUGACCAUAUGUUGAUGACGAUGAAGCAGUUUAAGAUAUUGAAUUCAAAAUUGAAUUCUAUCUUAAAUUCUCAAGAGGAUGCGGGAAGUGCUGGAGUCAAUAUCAUGGAAGUUGAUUCCUUAAUGAAGGAAAUGGAAAGUAGAGUGAUUUCGAAGGCGUCAGGAUUAAUACGUGAUUCUGAAAGCCGCAUUCUUGAGAAGACUGAUCAGACGGUUACGAAGGAGGUGAAAGAUUUAAAGACGGUUACGAAGGAGCGUCAUGUGCUCUUCGUACAGGAAGUUAAGAAGGUUCGCGAAGACGUUAAUAUGCAGAUUCGUGAACUUCGUGAAGAAAUGACAAAGGAAGUUCAGCAUAUUCAACAGGGGUAUGAAUCAGCACAUCAGAAGAUCGAUAUCAUUUGUGAUGCGGUUGUUCAAUGUGUUAAGAUGUUCGAACAAGUAAAUCCUCAGAUGAUCUCUCUUUCAGCCACAGAAGAACAACAUUUUGGAGAGUUGGUGAAGCUGCUGAAAGAACUCAAAGAAAUAUCUUCGAAAUCAUCUUCUCCAAUUAUCUCUCAAGAAUUUCUUUCUCAGAAAUUCAUUCAUUUCGAAGCCAUUCUUCAAAAACACCUUACUCCAUUACUUCGAAUUUCAAGCCUUUUGCCGAACGUAUCAGAUGCCUCACCUGCUGUCACAGGGGUGCAAGGGGGAGAAAAAGUUGUUCAAGCAAAGGCUGGGGAACAUGAGAAGAAAACUGAAGAUUCGAAGGUGGUAGGAAAGGUUUAUCCUUCGAAAGUUGUGGUUAAACCAACAAUAGUUUCAGCUGCACCAGUCAUUUCGACUGUGACUACAACUGUUCCAAUUUCAAGACCUAUUACAAAAGGUAUUGUAAUUGGGAAUGUAGUUCCUUUGAAUGUUUCUUCAUCAAAGAAUGCAGCUCCUUCGAAUGUUAAAGAUAAAGGAAAAGGAGUCUUGGUUGAGAAGACUAGCAAAGAGAUAAAAGCUGAGGUGGCAGCGGAAGUUGAAAGAAUGAGGCAUGUUGAAAGUAUUAUGCGCCAGAGAGCUCUUGAAGGUUCGAAUGUUGACAAGGGAGACCCUUCGAAAUUAUUCAACUACGAAACUAUUGAAUCAAGGGUGAUGUUCGAUCACAUGUACUCGUUUGAAAAGAUUCCAAAGAAGAGUGUUGUGGUGACAAAUACUGAUUAUGGUCAACUCGACUUUCCGAUCAACGAGAUGAUGUUCGUCAUGCCACAGUUCAAAGCAGAAACAAAGUCUAUGGAUGUCGAAGAGGGAAAAAAGAUGAAAAUUCGAUUUCAUGUAGUGUUGGCAAAGGCUCAAGAAGAAGUUUGGUACUUGGAGAAGAUUAAGAAGGUGAUAUCCAUCAAAAGGGAUGUUAUUUUCGAAGGCAAGUUGCAGAAUUUGAAAUAUGUUGUGUCAAGAGCAAGUGGAAAGUUAUAAGAGUUCAUUGUGGCGGACUUUCCAUUGAUGAAUACUUACGAUCUCAUCAAUAUUGCUCUGAUUCUUAAAGACAAGUCCUUCUCUUUUCUCCAAGAAACAGAACCAGAUGUCUUCAGUCUUGGGUGUAGGCACAUAAAAAUUUUCUUGGAGAAUUAUUUUGAAUGCCUAGCUCAAACUGAUGUAGAGCUUGCUACUGUUAAAGGCAUCGACAUUACAGCACCAAUGGCUCCUACGAAGAAGCAGGUUGAGUUGAGAAAGUACGAAGACGGAGAAAUAUGCUUAAAGCCAUUGGGGAUAGUCUUCGCAGGAAAAGAUAAAGUUGGAAGAGCCAAGAGAUUCUUGUUUCAAACCUCUGAAGUGGAAAGAUAUACAAAUUCGCAAUAUACGAACUUAAUUGUUCGUAUGAAUCAUUGCAAGAAGAAUUCAGAAGGAGAUAAAUAAAUUUAUCUCUUGGUACAUGGAAAUUCGAAGAGUAUUGAUGUAUGCUGUUCAACUAUUAACUUCAUGAAGACUUCGACAUUUAUUCCAAAGGGGGAGAUUGUUAUGGUAUAAAUGUUGUAAUAAGUCGAAGAGUUAGUUUUGUUGUUACGAAGGAUCUCUAGUCUUCGUAAGUAGAGUCUUCGGAUGUAAUGUUAUAUUUACUAAGGCAUUUUAAUGAAUAGUCUGAAUGUCUAGUCCUUAGUAUUUUGUUAUGCUUUUGUACUCCUAUAAAUAGGAGACUGUACUGAGUCAGAACUUAACUUUUACACACUCUUUACAGAGAAUUCCUUUGUACUCUGUAAUACCAAAAGCAUAAUAUGAGCUGAUCAAAGAUUAUAUUUACUCUCGUGUUCAUCGUAUUUCUUCUUUCUUAAUUCUUAAGUGAAUUGAUCGUUAAACUCGAUUUCAAAUCUCAUCAGUUAUCGUUUAUGCUUAUUGGUCUGUAUCGGAAUAUGACACCCCGAGUUUUGAUUAUAUAAUGAAAAAUAUAUUUCUUUUAUGAAAUGCUUUGGUAAACAUUGUUUUAUCAUGUUUUGUUUUUGGGAACAAAUUCCGCAACUCUUUCAAAUCAAAAGGAUUUACUCUGAAAUUAUUUUAAAAGCAUAAAUGAAAUCGGUCUUUUCUGGCCGAGAUUUUGGGGAUGUCACAGUUGGUAUCAGAGCAUUAGUUUAAGCGAACUAGGAAUUUGUAGGAUUUCUAGACUUAAACUUAGAAUGCUAAGUGAAGUUUUGAGAUGUGUGUCUGUUAUGUUUUAGACACGAGCACUAGUUUAUUUUAGGAAAGUUGCCUAAAAUGCUUUAUGUGCUAAAUGUUAUAUGUUGCCAUAUAUGAUAUUAUUUGUUCGGAUCUAUGGUCUGUUGCCGACCGGAUCUAGAAACCUUAUGUGUGUAGGAUUCUAAGCGUACGUCUACGAUAUUAGAACUAGCAUGUAAACGUUUCAGAGUGGUAGGAAGAUUUGAAUAUCUAUCAUGAUUGAGGAUCUAAUUUCACCUUAUUUAGUGUGUAGAUCAAAAUGGUGAGAACCAGAAGUGGAAUUGGAAAUGCUGAUGAAAACAGGAAUCAACCACCAGUGAUUGAGCAAAUACCUGUCGUAGCAGCAGCACCUGAGCCAAUAACCAUGGCUGGUGUGCAAAUGAUGAUUCAGACGAUGUUGGAUCGUCAGAUGGAUGAAACUAGACGGUUGCUUCAACAGAAUCGUGAAGAACUGUCAAUUCGUGUGGAAGAGCCUGAAUUAAAUGAAGGGCACUCGGAAGGUGGAAACUUCAGUGGGUCUGUUGGUCCAGCCAACCCACCGAUAGUUAGGCAAGAUAACCAUGAUGGAAGGAAUGAUGGAAUGGGAUGCAAGUACAAGGACUUUUUAACUUGCAAACCAUCGACCUUCAAUGGAAAGGAGGAUCCGAUUGGGGUUAUGGAUUGGAUCUCCGAAAUGGAGUUAGCCUUUAUGACAUGUGGCUGUAGAGGCAAGUUGCAGACUAUCUAUGCCGUGCGACAAUUCCGAGGUGGAGCCGUUCGUUGGUGGAACACUCUAGGGAAGACCUUAAGCCCUAGUGAGCCACUGCAAUUGUCAUGGGCAGAGUUCUUGGUGCAGUUCAAGCGCAAGUUCUGCUCGGCUCAAAAUCUGUUGGAGUUGGAGAACAAGUUUCUGACAUUGACGAAGGGUAGCAUGUCAGUUGAUGAAUACACCAAUAACUUCACCGAUAAGAUGGAGUUUGCCUUGCGUAUCGUUCCAGACGAGCUGACAAAGGUGGAUCGGUAUGCGAAGGGACUUCCAUGGGAGUACGAGGUGCCGGUACGUCAGGCACUUACUCUAGAGGCAGCUAUCUGGGCUGCCAAGUCUGUGGAGAACAUGAUAAAGGGAAGAACCACCGACAAGGUUGAGGUUGGUGAGAAAAGAAAGUUUGAGGGAACAUCUGGUUCCGGUAAAAGAAGCAAAUUUUCGAAAUCUGAUUCGAAAAAGUUUGGAGGAAAAGGAGGCGAAGCGAAGUGGUGUGAUAAGUGUAAGAAAAAGCACUUUGGGAAAUGUAGCGAGGAUGUAACCUGCUACAAGUGUGGAAAGGUUGGACAUUUUGCCAAUGAAUGUCCGAACAACAAAAGGAUGUGUUUUGGGUGUAAUGAAGAGGGGCAUAUUUUGAAAGACUGUCCGAAGAAGAAGGAGGCAGCUAGGCCCAACAUUCCACCAAAGCCGAAGGCGAGAGCCUUCCAGAUGACACUUGAGGCUGCGAAAGAUGAAGCUGAUGUCGCUUCAGGUACCUUUCUCGUAAACGAAUUACCUGCUCAUAUAUUGUUUGAUUCUGGAGCCAACUACUCCUUUAUUUCGCAUGAGUUUGGUAGAAAGCUAGCUUUGCCUAUUGAUAGACUAGAUGAUGCUUUAUUAGUCGAAGUAGCUAGUGGCAAGUUUGUACCUGUUAGCCAUCGUAUGAAAAACAUCUUAAUCGACCUUAAUGGGAAUAAGUUUCUCGAGGAAUUAUUGCCUAUCGAACUAAAUGGUUUCGACAUCGUCUUGGGAAUGGAUUGGCUUAGCGCCAAUGAUGCCGAAAUUUUGUGCAAGAAGAAGAUAGUUAAAGUAAACCCGCCUGGGAAAGAUUCGUUUAUGGUGUAUGGGGACAAACGCAGAGUGAAUUCUGGAAUCAUUUCUCUAAUGAAAGCCAGAAAGUGUUUGACCAAGGGAUGUACAUCAUAUUUAGCAUUCGUGAUUGAUGCUAAGAAAGAAAAGAAGGUGAUGCAGAGUAUUCCAGUGGUGUGUGAUUAUCCGGAAGUAUUUCCCGAGGAUCUUCCUGGAUUACCACCUGAUAGACAAGUGGAGUUCAGAAUAGACUUGUUACCAGGAACCACGCCAAUAGCAAAAGCACCUUAUCGAUUAGCACCGACGGAGAUGAAGGAGCUGAUGAUGCAACUUCAGGAGUUAUUGGACAAAGGUUUCAUUAGACCUAGUUCAUCGCCCUGGGGAGCUCCGGUGUUAUUUGUAAAGAAGAAAGAUGGAAGUAUGAGAAUGUGCAUCGAUUACAGAGAGCUGAACAAGGCAACAAUAAAGAAUAGAUAUCCGUUGCCGAGGAUUGAUGACCUGUUUGAUCAAUUGCAAGGUUCGAGCUAUUUCUCGAAGAUCGAUCUUAGGUCAGGAUAUCAUCAGCUGAAAGUAAGAGAGCAAGAUAUCGAGAAGACUGCAUUCAGAACUAGAUAUGGACACUACGAGUUCUUGGUUAUGUCGUUUGGACUAACCAAUGCUCCAGCAGCGUUCAUGGAUUUGAUGAAUAGGGUUUGUAAUCCUUUCCUUGAUAAAUCCGUGAUAGUGUUCAUAGACGACAUUCUGAUCUACUCGAAAAGCCAGGAGGAGCAUGGCAGACACUUGCGAGAAGUGUUAGAAGUUUUGAAGAAGGAGAAGCUUUAUGCGAAGUUCUCCAAAUGUGAUUUUUGGAUUCGUGAGGUCCAAUUCUUGGGUCACGUGGUCAACCAAGAAGGGAUAAUGGUUGAUCCAGCGAAGAUCGAAGCUGUGACGAAGUGGGAACAACCGAAAAGUCCCACGGAGAUUCGAAGCUUUUUAGGAUUAGCCGGAUAUUACCGAAGGUUUAUCCAAGGCUUUUCUUCGAUUGCUACUCCAUUAACAGCUUUGACCCACAAAGGAGCUACUUAUGCUUGGAGUGAGAAGCAUAAAGAAGCAUUCGAGAAGUUAAAGAAGAAGCUAUGCGAGGCACCGAUACUUUCUCUACCCGAUGGAGUUGAAGACUUCGCUGUUUAUAGCGAUGCGUCUGGUGUUGGAUUGGGUUGUGUUUUGACCCAAAGAGAAAAGGUGAUAGCAUAUGCGUCUCGACAGCUGAAAGAGCAUGAAAAGAAUUACCCGACUCAUGAUUUGGAGUUGGCAGCGGUAGUUUUCGCUCUGAAAAUAUGGAGGCAUUACCUCUAUGGCACGAAGUGCAAACUUUUCACUGAUCAUAAGAGUCUCCAAUACCUCUUUAAUCAGAAAGAAUUGAAUAUGAGGCAACGACGCUGGCUAGAAUUACUUAAAGACUACGACUGCGAGAUACUUUACCACCCCGGUAAAGCUAAUGUUGUUGCUGAUGCUCUCAGUCGGAAAGUCAAUCUUGAAAGGAAGAGGCCAAGAGCGUUGAGAAUUGAAGUUGUCUCGACUAUUGUGGAAAGUAUAAAGAAAGCUCAAGAGGAAGCUUCUGAGAAAAAUGACCGAAAGGAGGAACGUUUGGGUAAAACGUUGGUGUUUGGUACUAACGGUCAUGGACUGAAGGUAUUCCAAGAUCGUAUUUGGGUACCUAAGUCAGGAGGAAUUAGGGAUCUUCUGAUGGAAGAAGCUCACAAAACCAUGUACUCAAUUCAUCCGGGUAGCACUAAAAUGUAUAGGGACCUGAAACCCUACUACUGGUGGCCGACGAUGAAGCUUGAUGUUGCAAAGUAUGUGGCCGAGUGUGUGACUUGUGCGAGAGUCAAGACACAACAUCAGAAACCUUACGGGAGUUUAGAACCAUUGCCUGUGCCUAUGGGUAAGUGGGAAGACAUUGCUAUGGAUUUUGUCACUAAACUGCCCAGAACAAAGAAUGGUCACGACAUGAUUUGGGUGGUCGUUGAUCGAUUCACUAAGAGUGCGCAUUUCAUAGCGGCCAGGGAGAAAUGGUCUAUGGAAAAGCUUGCGAAUUCUUACGUGAAGGAAAUUGUGAGGCUUCACGGUGUUCCGUUAACGAUUGUAUCGGAUCGUGAUAGCCGUUUCACCUCAAGGUUUUGGAAAAGUCUACAAGAGGAAAUGGGUACCAAGUUAUGUUUAAGCACAGCUUACCAUCCGCAGACUGAUGGUCAGAGUGAAAGAACAAUACAAACACUUGAAGAUAUGCUGAGAGCAUGUACCUUGGAAUUCCUAGGUAAUUGGGAUGAACAUUUACCGUUGGUAGAAUUUUCCUAUAAUAAUAGUUUUCACUCGAGCAUUAAGAUGGCACCUUAUCAAGCUUUGUAUGGACAGAAGUGUCGUACGCCGUCUUGUUGGCUUGAGGCUGGGGAAAAGCAGUUUAUGGGACCGGAGAUGGUUCAUCAAACUGCUGAAAAGUUGAAAAUAAUUAGGGAAAGAAUGUUAGCAGCUCAAGAUCGUCAAAAGAGCUAUGCUGACAAGAAGCGAAGACCGAUGACUUUUGAGGUUGGAGAUUCGGUUUUGCUUAAAGUCUCGCCGUGGAAGGGACUUAUAAGAUUUGGUAAAAGGGGAAAGUUGAGUCCAAGGUUUAUUGGACCGUUUAAAGUCCUUCAGAGGAUUGGGAAUCAAGCUUACAAGCUCGAAUUACCCGAAGAACUGAAUGGAAUUCACAACACCUUUCAUGUGUGUUAUUUGAGGAAGUUCACGGGAGAAGUUCCCGAUAUAAUUCCAAUUUCUGAAUUGAGAAUUGAUGAGAACAAAAGGUUGAUUGAAGAACCAGAGGCAAUUGUUGACCGAAAGACUAAGAAGUUGCGACGCAAAAUGGUUGGGUUAGUGCUUGUCCGAUGGAAACACACGAAUGGGCCGAAUCUCACCUGGGAGACGGAGAGUGACAUGUUGAGUCGCUAUCCGCAUUUGUUUGUUGAUGUGUGAUUCCGGGGACGGAAUCAUUCUAAGGUGGAGAGAAUUGUAACGCCUGUGUUUCCGGGCUUGCCAUUUUUAGCAAUGUAAUAGUCUAGGUUAACCUUUGUAACCCGUUUUGAAAUAAUAAGAUUGUAUUAUUUGAGUAUUAUGUGUUUUGUGCUUAAUUGCUUAAUUAUGUGGUUUGAUUAAUUAAGAAUAAAAAUAAGCGUCAAAAUUUAAGUGUAAAAUAAACUUAAUAUCUUUGGUUAAUGUUGUAGUAGUUGAAACGAGGUUUCCGAAUAUAUAUAGAACGCCCAAAUCUGACUUCGUAUGAGGAAGUUAUGAUUUAUCGAAGUUCCGGCUUAGCGAUAUACAGCCUGUUUUACUCGAUUUGAGAUCGAGCGGUUGUUAGCCGAAGCAAUCUAAAUGAGAAUCGAAGAUCUCAUUGUUGGUAUUGAAACGAUAAAAAGUUAGGCGAGAACGGACGUCAAACGAAGAAGUUAUGAAUUUAUAACGAAAGUUUCUGUCCCGGCCUAUUAAAAAUAAUUAAUAAAAAUAAAGUCAAAAUUAGCCGACGGAGUCUAAACGAAAGUCGUAGAGCGUGGUCUCACCUUCGCGUGGAUAUAAAGAACGUCGAAAACGGAGUUCGUAUGAAGAAGUUAUGAAUUUCCGAAGUUUAUUAAUCAUUUUGUAUUUAUUUUUAAUUCAAAAUUCGGAAGCAUUAUCCGAAGGAGUCACCGAUCUGAUCCGAGGUACGCCCCGCGUACUCGAGUACGCCCCGCGUACUCCGAGGGAUGUCGACACUCGCACUCGAGCACUUCGGAUACGUAAGCAAUGACGUUUUGGGCAGUACGCCCCGCGUAACGCAGUACGCCCCGCGUACUCCGAGGCUCCAGCCUCCUAUAAAUAGGAUGCGAGGGUUCCGGGUAUUUUUGCCAAUUCCCUCUCGUUUUCGUGUCGAAGCUCUGUGCAAAAACCCCCGAAGCUACCCCGAAGUCCCGGUAUCAUACUCUAGCCCCGAGGCAAGUCCCGAGAUCCUGAAGAUCCCGAAAAGUGCGGUUCCCGAGUCGAAGCUCUGCCCGCGAGAAGUUCGAUUUUCGAGAAGAUCUUCCAGAUCUGCUGUGGAUUACUACUUCUAUAAGCCGUAGUGCUGUCCGAUCAUCUUCUGAUCAAGUGAGUGUGUAGUUAUUUCUUCUAAUACAAUAAUACGAAGUAUUUUAUAUAAAAAUACGUGCUAUGUGUAUAUAUUUGGUUGUGUUAUGUGUGAAUGAGUAUUCACUCUCUUCUAUCUUAUAGAUCUGCUUAUUUCUUUAUGAGAUAUGUGUUAUGUGUGUGUGUGCCUCAUCUGUUAUGUGAUAUAUGUGUUGAUUAAAGCAUGCUAUACAGGUUUUCUUUAAACUAUGUAUACAAAUGUAUAUUUUUAUCUACUAAUAUGUUGGGUAGAACAUGGGUAGACAGUUGGUGUGUAAUAAACAGAUGAGAGGCCUCGUUGUUGUUUGAUUGAGUCAUCUAGCGGAGUUUAGAUGACGACCACUGGCUAUUCUAGACAGUCUUGUGGAAACAUUAGCAGGUUCGCCACCUGUAGGUGUUAAUGAACUUGGGUGUUCAUUCGCUGUACUCCAUCCCCCUCAUGGUUGCCUUAUUUGACUUAUAUUGCUGAGGUACCCCCGAAGCAUGUGUUGUCGCCCCGAUGAAAUAUUCUUAGACUAGGUCCCUUAUGUUAGUUGUCUUAGGGACAUAAAGUGAGAAUAACGGGAAUGGGUAAUUGGGUUAUUGUUGGUUGGUGAAAAUUAAAUAUGAUUAUUUAUUGUGGGUUGAAAACCCUAUAUGCUCACCAGGCUCCCAAGCCUGACCCACUCAGUUUUAUUUGUAUUACAGGAAGUGGCGCGAGGGCAUAAGAUGGAUGAACCAUCAGUUGUUUUGUUUACAAGUCUGUAUAUGUAUAUAUAUUUGUUGAAUGACUUGUAAUGUUAUCGUUUAUGCUUAUUGGUCUGUAUCGGAACAUGACACCCCGAGUUUUGAUUAUAUAAUGAAAAAUAUAUUUCUUUUAUGAAAUGCUUUGGUAAACAUUGUUUUAUCAUGUUUUGUUUUUGGGAACAAAUUCCGCAACUCUUUCAAAUCAAAAGGAUUUACUCUGAAAUUAUUUUAAAAGCAUAAAUGAAAUCG